CAAAAUGUAGCUUAGUAUCAAAGUCUUUCGCUUACACCGAAACAACAUCUGUUUAAAAUCAGAUCAUUUUGAG
rnacentral:tRNA from 1 species